rnacentral:lncRNA from 1 species
CCAACCCAUGACAGUCUUAAUUCAUAUCUACUUCCAACAUAUGACCGACUGUGGAUGGUUUGAAUAACUUAGUCAUUCCGGAAGAAUAACCCAGUUUAUUCGGGAAGUCAAAACAUGCAAAAUGAAACACAAUAAUAAUUGAAUCCAAUAUGGUAUCAACCCUUUGAACAUAAAUAAAACACCUUUUAUUUAUCACCAUAUGAUUACACAUUAUUCAUUGUAUACUGUUUCAGCUAUCAACUUUAUUCUUGAAUUUAAAACAAUAGUUGUCCCAUGCUCCAAGCAUGUACACUAUGUUUUCUUAAACACUAGUCAUGCCACACACCAAGUAUGCAUACUAUGUUUGUCUAUGAUCUUUACUUUGUGAACUAGAUCAAUUGAACAUAACUUCAAUGAUUCUCUUUUCACACUCCCAAAUCCUUACUGCAAAUGCAAGAAUUCCAAAUUCAUGCCAUUUACUGAAAUCUGUUAGAUUCUAAACUUAUAUGCAUUGAUCCUCUUGUAAUGAUUAUGCACAAAGUCACAAAGACUUGGCAACAAUCAUUACAGAGUAUUCCAAAGGAGAUCAACUCCUUGGAAAUAUCCUUCUUGCAUUAAGUUUCCUUAAUCUUACACAGAUUGAAAAUUCUAACUUUGAAACAUUUCCAGAUUCCAUUUUGACUAUCACUUCUGAACAAGAGUUGCCUCCUUACAGAUUAUGUCAAUAUGGUCCUUCCAGAAUUAUCACUAUACUUCCAAUUGUCCUUGAGUAACCAAUCUUUGGUAAACCUUAGAUUGUCCUCGACAAUUGUUUAAUCCUUUUAGUCAUAUCCAGUUCUAAACCUUUUCCCUUCUUAAUGCCCCAGGCAUUUGGAAAAUUUUAGAACGGAUGAAUAUAGCACAUGUAAUCGAUCCUAUAUCCGAAGCAUAUGGGACACGAUUCAUGAUGUCUUACAUAAAGACUAAACCAGUCUUUUGCUAUAAUAUUUCCAUUUCAAUUUGCCAAGUUCUCAUAAUUCAGAUUAUGAAAAGGGAUGCCGUAAUCAUAAUCGAAUUUUAGAACGCAAAUAAUGGACCCAUAUACAGAAUUUCCUUAUGUUGAGCCAUUCCAACAUGAAAUUCAUAUAUAUCCUUGACUAAAUGAUUAAAACCUCACGAUCUAAGCUUAUAGAUUUGAGAUGAAGCAUAAUUUCCUCUCCCUUAAUUAUAGCAAAACAACUUUUUCCCAAUUGAAACUUUUGUUUUCUAUAAUUAACAUUGCUAACUUGCAAUACUUAUCAUAAUUAUCAUGCUCCCACUAACAUGAUGAUUAUUAGCAUAACACUUAUGCUCCCACUAGCUUUGACAUGUACUCAGAAAUCAGCUGGACAGUCUGAAAUUUAGAUUCAUACACCCUUUCCGUAGAUAGCUCACCUGUGUGUCUAAGCAAUUUCAAGAACCAUGAAAAGGGAUACCGUAAUCAUGGUCUCAAUUGCUUAGGCAUUUGCCAUUUCUCACAAGUCCAUGUUAGUGUGCCGGUUAACCACACGCGCUCCACUAACGACUUUUGAAAAUGCAAAUAACACAAUUGAUAUCUUCGUAAAAUCUACUUAGUGAAAGCGUUUCCUCACCAUCAUUUUCAUGAAUCGGAGAGAAACCUUAUGACACUUAGAUUUAUAUGGUGUAUGAGUUCCUACCCAUAUGAAUUUGUCAAACCAUAAUCACAAGACAAAGAUAAUGACAAAUCCAAAACCAUAUGGAUUGAACUCAAUCUUAACUUCUUGCCACCUGGCAGCUCAAGGGCCUGCCAUUGCUUCCAAGUUGUUAUGCAACAAACUGAGAACUCUAAGAACUCAUAUGCAAAGCCAACUUUAACUGGAAUGGGCACAGAUAUGUCAACACGAUAGGUUAUAAACCUCAAGUCGUGUGCUAGUGAAGAACUUCAGGUUUUAUUCUUGAUUAUUUCUUGAGACUUUCAAGACCUUUAAGACUCCCACUGUCCUCUUGACAUAUAAGACUCCCUUGUCAAACAUCCAAGAGAUAGUGCGGAUUCUAAUCAAGAAAAACACUUUACCCAAUUGGCCUAAGUUGGUCUUUGUUUUAUCCAAAACAUCACAACUUACCAAUUUCAAAUGUACAAGAGUAGAAAACUUUUACUCUUACAUUUGACAAGUGUUUUAAACCUUCUUUAAGACAUGUCACUCAAAUGACAAUCUUGGAGUAUGACUCUAAGACUUGUAUUGGAACGAAGUAUGACUCAUCUUCUUGAUUUAACCAUUUCAACAAUUCAAGUUCCUCUUCUUAGUCAUAAGAAUGCACUAAGAUUUCCUUAGAGAACUAAUUGUGAUAUGGUUUCUUAAUCAUUAAGAUGAUCACAAAACUGAUACUAAAGUACUCUCCCAUCUUUUCAGAUUUGAGAAACUUUUAUCCUUCUGCCUAAUUUGAUUCUUCUUAUCGAUCUUUAGUGGUGGACUUAAUCAGUGCACAAGAAUGUGUACUCGAUCCCUUAGUCCUUUACUUGACUCACACAUCCAUGUGAACAAGUAAUUAGUCUUAAUUUUCCAAAACUUGAAAGUUCUCAUUCAUCAUGCUAUACAACUUGCAUGAUUCCAAGUUCCGGUCCAAUUGAAACUUGGGUGAUGAGAAUCUUUCCUUAUUUGGUAAAUCUAGACAUUACCACAAAUGAAAGAAUCAAUUUCAUAUUUCCACUCUUGCUCUUAAUGGAAUCAUAUAAGCAACAAUUUUUCCUCAAAAGCCAUUGUAAGGAUAUUUUAAAAUAAAUAAAAUCAAAAAAAUUUUCUUUUAUUUUAAAACUUUGCGGAAAAACUUAUCCUUACAAUCCAUAUGAAAACUUGUUGUUAUCUAUUCCUAAGCAAUAUCUCAUAACUCCUAAGAAGUAGCUCAAGAAUCCGAUCUUCAAACUAUGCGAUAGAAAUCCAUCUACGCCAUCAGAUUCAGCAUAUUCUUUCUUUAAGUUUCUUCACUUUUCUUUGAUUCUUAAAACAUCACCAUGUGACCCAGUCACAUCAUGUAUCAAGAAUCUCAGAAUAGAAACUUAACAGAGUUAGAUAGUGGACUUUACCUGAAGUAGAGUCAAACUUAUUGACUUUAACAUCCUUAGGUAAAUUUGGCAGCUUCGCAACCAAUGCCCCUUCCUUUGGCAAUAUAAACAUAUGGACCCUUUGAUAAUGGUACACGGGACUAUCACAGACUUAGCUUUUCUCUUUACCAUUUGGUCAACCGAGUUGACUAUGGCCGAUCCCUUUCCAUUGGGAAGAGAAUGCUUUACUGGAUAUCCAAUGUCAUCAUUGUCAAUGUCCAUAAAGUUUUAGGAAGUUGAUCUUAGCAAAUAGAUAAGAUCAUUAAGGGUCUUGUCAUAGUCUGUUUCAUAGGUGUCCCAAAGGAACUCACUAUGUGACUUAGAAAGUGAUUGAACCACCAACUUUCUCAAGACUUUGACACCCAACUCUCCCGGCUUGUCAAUAUGUGACUACAUCUCCAAGAUGUGACCACACCUAGACCUUGCCUUGCUAAUAGGGCCUGAGUGACCUUAAACUUUUCAAGAACUUGUGGGUUAGGGAGAAUAAUUUGAAGAGGUGAAGAAGUAUGAUAUCCAUGGGACAUCAUCUUCAUUAGGAAACCUUGUUUCAAGAGAUUUGGGAAGAUCAUAGGUGUCUAAACCAGACAUCUUUUGGGAGAUAUUCAAGAUAGUUGAUUUAAAGUCCUUAAUAUGACACCCAAUAUGAAAUAUUAAGGCUAGGACCCAACAAACUAUUUUAUAACUUAGAAGAGGUAUGCCGUAAUCCAAGCUAUAAAAUAUUUGAAGGUAGGUGAAUGACGAUUCACCAAUUUCCACCAAGAUAAACGAAAUGUAUUAUUAGGUUUUAAUUGGUUUUGAAACUCCUAGAUCUUUGAGAUUCAUUGAACUUUUCAAAGGCAUGUUUCAAUCUCGAGUGUGCCCUUCAGGUUUUGUGACUGGGAUGCCGAGGAUCACAAAACAAGGUGUGAAGUAACCAUGCAAAUCACUUGGUACCCUUAAUAAAUUACCCCUCAAUCGAUGUGCCGGUUAACCACACACGCUCCAUCGAUACUAUGAUAAAUAUUAAGUCACCCUUUACCUACCUUGUUAAGUCCAAGUUAGUGUGCCGGUUAACCACACACGCUCCACUAACGACUUAGACAAAGUGUAAAGUGUAAUUUCAUGGAUUAGCACCUUAUUCACAUUUUUCCUAAGUAACUAAGAUUGGGUAUUAUUAAGAGUUUAGUUACUUAGUAUUAUCAUUAAUACUUUUAAUGAAGGGAGAAUUCUAGUCCUGUCAAACCCGUUCGGCUAACGACCCUCCACCAGUCAAGCAAGCGGUGGGUGAGAGUGGACACCCAUUAAGUUGCCAUUUUAUAGGCAACAACCUUAUACCCACCUUAUAGACCGGCUUCGUGAAUGAGGCGUACUAGCGGUAAGACUGACUUUACUCUUAUACAUAUAUAUAUUAUUAACUUAUAAUAUUAUAAAGUAUAAGGGUUGAAUUUUAACUUUUAAAAUUCUAAGGGCUAACUUGGAAUUAAAGUAUUCAUACUUGAAAACUUUUCAAAUUCCAAAACUUGAGGGCAAGUUUUGAAACUAUUCAAAACUAAUUAAUUCCAUAACUUAUGUGUUUAAAGUAGUUUUAAUCCAAAAACUCUUCAAGUUCCAUAACUUGAGGACAAGUUAUGGAAGACUUUAAACUAAUAAAAGAACUAACUUUUUCUUUAUUUUAUAACUUAUGGAUUUAAUUAUGGUUACAUAUUUUUCUUUAAUGAAGUGACUCUUGAACUUCCAUAACUUGAGGACAAGUUAUGGAGUCAAAAAAAAUUAUUCAAUGACACAAGACUCUUCAUUUUGUAACCAUUGCCAACUUUUAUGAGUUUUAUGAGUCUUUAAUGUGACUCUUCAUGUAACUUGAGGACAAGUUACACAAACACAUUUUAUACUCAACUCUUAGAUUAAAAUGGAUUGAAAACAACUAUUUCACUCAACAUUUCUAUUAAUCUAAGCAACUCAUAAGAACAAGAUAAUUCAAAUCAAACUUUUUCAUGUAAUUAGUCUAAACCUUAAACUAAUACAAAACAUGAAUCUAUUGACAAUUAUCUUUGAAAAUGGAUUAGCAUGAACAUUACCACAUCAAAAACAAGUUUAUAAGUUCAAAAACAACUUAGGGUAAUGUUCCUAGUCCAUUUCUAGCCAAAAAACUCGAAAAUAUGCUGUCUGGGGGUCCAACUCGUCGAGUGCAUGAACAAACUCGGCGAGUUGGAUCGAAUUCAUCACUUUUUAGGCAUGGACUCGUCGAGUCUCCUGAUGGACUCGCCGAGUCUGAUGGCCAGACAGCACCAGAUUCGUUUUUUCAGCUUCUAUUGCAGGUAUAACAAGAAAACAAGCCUAGGCUCUGAUACCACUGUUGGGUUUUGAGCAUUCUAACACUCCUAAGUGUACAUGCAACCCUAAAUACCUUGGAUCUAUGUUUUCUCUAUUAUACAUGCAAAUAAGAACUUCCAAGGUAUUAUCCUAAUCUAGCAUACAAAACAAUGACUAUAGCAAGAUAGAAUACAUACCUCUUUGAUGUAGAAAGUCUUCAUGAAGCUUGAGUGCCUAGUGCCCCAAGUGUGACACCUCAAAUGGAAUCACAAUCAUCAAAACACUUGGAAUGACUUGAGAGAAUUCUACACUCUUCAAAAUCGGCUAGCCCUUUCUUCACUAUCACUAGUGGCCGAUUUUUCCUCAAUAAUAAGAUGCUUAUAUAGUUACACAAUUAGGGUAAACUCUUAAUUGUCAUGGCUUUCCAUUUCCUUGGAUCCAUGGGUACAAAUACACCAUGGAGCAUCCAUGGACCAUCCUAUGGGUUUUAGCCCAACUUGAUUAUCCAUGGAGCAUUAGCCCACUAUACAAGUAUGGAUGAUUUACACAAUCAACCCAUAUAUUUAAUUAGUCUUCUUUUGAUCACUUAAUUAAUCCUAGAUUAAUUCUUGAUCAAUACUAAUUAAAUAAUCUUAUUAUUCUUAUUAUUAAUAUACUAGAACUUAUAAUAUAUUAAUAACCAUAAGUGUCUUAUUUCUCUCAUUAUAGUCUAUCCAAGUGCAUGAUGGUAUGCAACCCAAAUGGACCAUGCCGGGUCGGGUCAAGUCUUACCAAUUAUAGUUAUGGACUUAGACAUUAAUCCAACAGUCUCCCACUUGGAUAAGUCUAAAACUAUUAUUGCGUAUGACUUCAGGAACCAACUGGCAAUCGUAGCUCUCAAAAGCUUCUGUCGAACUCUGACCUUGUAGAUGAACUCUGACCUUUGUCAAUGACUUGUCCAUUAGAUAAGGGAUCAUAUAUUCCUCCAUUCUAGAUAUCAUAUGGACUGAGACAUGGAUUAUAAUCAUUCUCUCUGUCCAUUUGUUGUUUCCCGAUUUCCGAUUUAUGACGACUGACUAAUUGAACAAAUCAAAUCAGUCCUGGCCCGGCCGAGCACUUCCAUUUGUCAUCAUCAAAUCAUCGAGGGGCCCACAGAUAUCGCUUUUAUCCCGAAGGUAAAAGGAAUGGAUAAACUUCGACUCAUAUGGCUUGUUCUACUACUUGUUGAAUCAUACACAAAGGCACGUUUUAUAGCACCGAGUUACCAAAUGCGUUUUCGUGCAAUCAAUGUACUAUCAACUCAUAGUAACAACUCAUAUCUCUAGGUUUGAAGAAUAUAAGAUAUUAUCGUCUCAUGAUCACUCGUGAUAAAAUCCAUGAAGUGAUUCCAAUGAGCGCGGGUUGAAUCCAAUACUCAGAACUUAUGAGCACUCAUGAGUGUUGUAGCCCUUUGUCCAACACCUUAGACCUCUACAAGCCAACUCAUGACAGUCUUAAUUCAUAUCUACUUCCAACAUAUGACCGACUGUGGAUGGUUUGAAUAACUUAGUCAUUCCGGAAGAAUAACCCAGUUUAUUCGGGAAGUCAAAACAUGCAAAAUGAAACACAAUAAUAAUUGAAUCCAAUAUGGUAUCAACCCUUUGAACAUAAAUAAAACACCUUUUAUUUAUCACCAUAUGAUUACACAUUAUUCAUUGUAUACUGUUUCAGCUAUCAACUUUAUUCUUGAAUUUAAAACAAUAGUUGUCCCAUGCUCCAAGCAUGUACACUAUGUUUUCUUAAACACUAGUCAUGCCACACACCAAGUAUGCAUACUAUGUUUGUCUAUGAUCUUUACUUUGUGAACUAGAUCAAUUGAACAUAACUUCAAUGAUUCUCUUUUCACACUCCCAAAUCCUUACCGCAAAUGCAAGAAUUCCAAAUUCAUGCCAUUUACUGAAAUCUGUUAGAUUCUAAACUUAUAUGCAUUGAUCCUCUCGUAAUGAUUAUGCACAAAGUCAUAAAGACUUGGCAACAAUCAUUACAGAGUAUUCCAAAGGAGAUCAACUCCUUGGAAAUAUCCUUCUUGCAUUAAGUUUCCUUAAUCUUACACAGAUUGAAAAUUCUAACUUUGAAACAUUUCCAGAUUCCAUUUUGACUAUCACUUCUGAACAAGAGUUGCCUCCUUACAGAUUAUGUCAAUAUGGUCCUUCCAGAAUUAUCACUAUACUUCCAAUUGUCCUUGAGCAACCAAUCUUUGGUAAACCUUAGAUUGUCCUCGACAAUUGUUUAAUCCUUUUAGUCAUAUCCAGUUCUAAACCUUUUCCCUUCUUAAUGCCCCAGGCAUUUGGAAAAUUUUAGAACGGAUGAAUAUAGCACAUGUAAUCGAUCCUAUAUCCGAAGCAUAUGGGACACGAUUCAUGAUGUCUUACAUAAAGACUAAACCAGUCUUUUGCUAUAAUAUUUCCAUUUCAAUUUGCCAAGUUCUCAUAAUUCAGAUUAUGAAAAGGGAUGCCGUAAUCAUAAUCGAAUUUUAGAACGCAAAUAAUGGACCCAUAUACAGAAUUUCCUUAUGUUGAGCCAUUCCAACAUGAAAUUCAUAUAUUUCCUUGACCAAAUGAUUAAAACCUCAAAUCUAAACCUUAUAGAUUUGAUUAUCCAUGGAGCAUU